rnacentral:rRNA from 1 species
CGAAGCGAAGCAGUGAUGUGAAGCAAAUCGCACCAAAGCCAGUCCCAGUUCGGAUAAGAGGCUGAAACUCGCCUCUUUGAAGUCGGAAUCGCUAGUAAUCGCAGAUCAGCAUGUUGCGGUGAAUACGUUCCCGGGUCUUGUACACACCGCCCGUCAAACCAUGAGAGUCACCAACACCCGAAGUCCGCCUUGGCGGCCUAAGGUGGGGGAGAUGAUUGGGGUUAAGUCGUAACAAGGUACC